rnacentral:rRNA from 2 species
UUAAGCGACUAAGCGUACACGGUGGAUGCCCUGGCAGUCAGAGGCGAUGAAGGACGUGCUAAUCUGCGAUAAGCGUCGGUGAGGUGAUAUGAACCGUUAUAACCGGCGAUUUCCGAAUGGGGAAACCCAGUGUGUUUCGACACACUAUCAUUAACUGAAUCCAUAGGUUAAUGAGGCGAACCGGGGGAACUGAAACAUCUAAGUACCCCGAGGAAAAGAAAUCAACCGAGAUUCCCCCAGUAGCGGCGAGCGAACGGGGAGGAGCCCAGAGCCUGAAUCAGUGUGUGUGUUAGUGGAAGCGUCUGGAAAGGCGUGCGAUACAGGGUGACAGCCCCGUACACAAAAAUGCACAUAUUGUGAGCUCGAUGAGUAGGGCGGGACACGUGGUAUCCUGUCUGAAUAUGGGGGGACCAUCCUCCAAGGCUAAAUACUCCUGACUGACCGAUAGUGAACCAGUACCGUGAGGGAAAGGCGAAAAGAACCCCGGCGAGGGGAGUGAAAAAGAACCUGAAACCGUGUACGUACAAGCAGUGGGAGCCUCUUAAUGAGGUGACUGCGUACCUUUUGUAUAAUGGGUCAGCGACUUAUAUUCUGUAGCAAGGUUAACCGAAUAGGGGAGCCGAAGGGAAACCGAGUCUUAACUGGGCGUUAAGUUGCAGGGUAUAGACCCGAAACCCGGUGAUCUAGCCAUGGGCAGGUUGAAGGUUGGGUAACACUAACUGGAGGACCGAACCGACUAAUGUUGAAAAAUUAGCGGAUGACUUGUGGCUGGGGGUGAAAGGCCAAUCAAACCGGGAGAUAGCUGGUUCUCCCCGAAAGCUAUUUAGGUAGCGCCUCGUGAAUUCAUCUCCGGGGGUAGAGCACUGUUUCGGCAAGGGGGUCAUCCCGACUUACCAACCCGAUGCAAACUGCGAAUACCGGAGAAUGUUAUCACGGGAGACACACGGCGGGUGCUAACGUCCGUCGUGAAGAGGGAAACAACCCAGACCGCCAGCUAAGGUCCCAAAGUCAUGGUUAAGUGGGAAACGAUGUGGGAAGGCCCAGACAGCCAGGAUGUUGGCUUAGAAGCAGCCAUCAUUUAAAGAAAGCGUAAUAGCUCACUGGUCGAGUCGGCCUGCGCGGAAGAUGUAACGGGGCUAAACCAUGCACCGAAGCUGCGGCAGCGACACUAUGUGUUGUUGGGUAGGGGAGCGUUCUGUAAGCCUGUGAAGGUGGCCUGUGAGGGUUGCUGGAGGUAUCAGAAGUGCGAAUGCUGACAUAAGUAACGAUAAAGCGGGUGAAAAGCCCGCUCGCCGGAAGACCAAGGGUUCCUGUCCAACGUUAAUCGGGGCAGGGUGAGUCGACCCCUAAGGCGAGGCCGAAAGGCGUAGUCGAUGGGAAACAGGUUAAUAUUCCUGUACUUGGUGUUACUGCGAAGGGGGGACGGAGAAGGCUAUGUUGGCCGGGCGACGGUUGUCCCGGUUUAAGCGUGUAGGCUGGUUUUCCAGGCAAAUCCGGAAAACCAAGGCUGAGGCGUGAUGACGAGGCACUACGGUGCUGAAGCGACAAAUGCCCUGCUUCCAGGAAAAGCCUCUAAGCAUCAGGUAACAUCAAAUCGUACCCCAAACCGACACAGGUGGUCAGGUAGAGAAUACCAAGGCGCUUGAGAGAACUCGGGUGAAGGAACUAGGCAAAAUGGUGCCGUAACUUCGGGAGAAGGCACGCUGAUAUGUAGGUGAAGUGCCUCGCUCGUGGAGCUGAAAUCAGUCGAAGAUACCAGCUGGCUGCAACUGUUUAUUAAAAACACAGCACUGUGCAAACACGAAAGUGGACGUAUACGGUGUGACGCCUGCCCGGUGCCGGAAGGUUAAUUGAUGGGGUUAGCGGCAACGCGAAGCUCUUGAUCGAAGCCCCGGUAAACGGCGGCCGUAACUAUAACGGUCCUAAGGUAGCGAAAUUCCUUGUCGGGUAAGUUCCGACCUGCACGAAUGGCGUAAUGAUGGCCAGGCUGUCUCCACCCGAGACUCAGUGAAAUUGAACUCGCUGUGAAGAUGCAGUGUACCCGCGGCAAGACGGAAAGACCCCGUGAACCUUUACUAUAGCUUGACACUGAACAUUGAGCCUUGAUGUGUAGGAUAGGUGGGAGGCUUUGAAGUGUGGACGCCAGUCUGCAUGGAGCCGACCUUGAAAUACCACCCUUUAAUGUUUGAUGUUCUAACGUGGGCCCCUAAUCGGGGUUGCGGACAGUGUCUGGUGGGUAGUUUGACUGGGGCGGUCUCCUCCUAAAGAGUAACGGAGGAGCACGAAGGUUGGCUAAUCCUGGUCGGACAUCAGGAGGUUAGUGCAAUGGCAUAAGCCAGCUUGACUGCGAGCGUGACGGCGCGAGCAGGUGCGAAAGCAGGUCAUAGUGAUCCGGUGGUUCUGAAUGGAAGGGCCAUCGCUCAACGGAUAAAAGGUACUCCGGGGAUAACAGGCUGAUACCGCCCAAGAGUUCAUAUCGACGGCGGUGUUUGGCACCUCGAUGUCGGCUCAUCACAUCCUGGGGCUGAAGUAGGUCCCAAGGGUAUGGCUGUUCGCCAUUUAAAGUGGUACGCGAGCUGGGUUUAGAACGUCGUGAGACAGUUCGGUCCCUAUCUGCCGUGGGCGCUGGAGAACUGAGGGGGGCUGCUCCUAGUACGAGAGGACCGGAGUGGACGCAUCACUGGUGUUCGGGUUGUCAUGCCAAUGGCACUGCCCGGUAGCUAAAUGCGGAAGAGAUAAGUGCUGAAAGCAUCUAAGCACGAAACUUGCCCCGAGAUGAGUUCUCCCUGACUCCUUGAGAGUCCUGAAGGAACGUUGAAGACGACGACGUUGAUAGGCCGG